UACAGAGGUCCCAAGCGUUGUCCGGAUUUAUUGGGCGUAAAGAGCGUGUAGGCGGCCAGGUAGGUCAGCUGUGAAAACUCGAGGCUUAACCUCGAGACGCCGGCUGAAACCCUCUGGCUAGAGUCCGGAAGAGGAGAGCGGAAUUCCUGGUGUAGCGGUGAAAUGCGCAGAUAUCAGGAAGAACACCCGUGGCGAAGGCGGCUCUCUGGGACGGUACUGACGCUGAGGAGCGAAAGCAUGGGGAGCGAACAGG
rnacentral:rRNA from 1 species